rnacentral:ncRNA from 1 species
AAACCUUAGUCGGGGUGCUUUUUAUUUAACCAAAAAGCUGAGAUAAUACCCGUGAACCUGAUACAGUUAAUACUGGCGUAGGAAACUAAAUGCGUGAUUUA